GAUGAACGCUGGCGGCGUGCCUAAUACAUGCAAGUCGAGCGAACGGACGAGAAGCUUGCUUCUCUGAUGUUAGCGGCGGACGGGUGAGUAACACGUGGAUAACCUACCUAUAAGACUGGGAUAACUUCGGGAAACCGGAGCUAAUACCGGAUGAUAUUUUGAACCGCAUGGUUCAAAAGUGAAAGACGGUCUUGCUGUCACUUAUAGAUGGAUCCGCGCUGCAUUAGCUAGUUGGUAAGGUAACGGCUUACCAAGGCAACGAUGCAUAGCCGACCUGAGAGGGUGAUCGGCCACACGGGAACUGAGACACGGUCCAGACUCCUACGGGAGGCAGCAGUAGGGAAUCUUCCGCAAUGGGCGAAAGCCUGACGGAGCAACGCCGCGUGAGUGAUGAAGGUCUUCGGAUCGUAAAACUCUGUUAUGAGGGAAGAACAUAUGUGUAAGUAACUGUGCACGUCUUGACGGUACCUAAUCUGAAAGCCACGGCUAACUACGUG
rnacentral:rRNA from 1 species